rnacentral:tRNA from 1 species
GAGGGUACAGCUUAGUGGUAGAGCAUGUGCUUAGCAUGCAUGAGGUCCUGGGUACAAUCCCCAGUACUUCCA